GACGUAGGAUGCAAGCGUUGUCCGGAUUUAUUGGGCGUAAAGAGUUCGUAGGCGGUUUGUUAAGUCUGGUGUUAAAUAUCGGGGCUCAACCUCGGGACUGCAUUGGAUACUGGCAGACUGGAGUAUGGUAGAGGUAAGUGGAAUUUCUGGUGUAGCGGUGAAAUGCGUAGAUAUCAGGAAGAACACCGGUGGCGUAGGCGACUUACUGGGCCAUAACUGACGCUGAGGAACGAAAGCCAGGGGAGCGAAUGGG
rnacentral:rRNA from 1 species